UACGAAGGUGGCAAGCGUUAUUCGGAUUUACUGGGCGUACAGGGAGCGUAGGCGGUUCGGUAAGCCCUUUGUGAAAUCUUCAGGCUUAACCUGAAAAAGUCGGAGGGGACUGCCGGGCUAGAGGACGGGAGAGGAGCGCGGAAUUCCCGGUGUAGCGGUGAAAUGCGUAGAGAUCGGGAGGAAGGCCGGUGGCGAAGGCGGCGCUCUGGAACGUUUCUGACGCUGAGGCUCGAAGGCCAGGGGAGCAAACGGG
rnacentral:rRNA from 1 species